CAGAAGCGAGGAUAGAGUUUCUGCCAUUCGUGAAGAAAUGAAAGAUGUCGAGAUAAUCUACAAGCCCCUCAAUGAAAUGCUUAAAUGUGCUGCUAAAGCUGAUGUUAUUUUCACGAGCACUGCAUCAGAAACGCCACUGUUUAUGAAAGAACAUGUUGUGGAUCUUCCACCUGUUAGUGCAAGUGUUGGAAGUUUAAGGCUUUUCAUUGACAUCUCAGUUCCUAGGAAUGUUGGUGCUUGUGUGAAUGAGCUAGAGGACGCACGGGUGUACAAUGUAGAUGAUCUAAAAGAGGUUGUGGCAGCUAAUAAGGAGGACCGUCUUCGUAAAGCUAUGGAAGCUCAAGCAAUCAUUUCUGAAGAAUCCAAACAAUUUGAAGCUUGGAG
rnacentral:misc_RNA from 1 species